CUAGACCAGGUUGUAGUGUCUCUCUAGACCAGGUUGUAGUGUCUCUGUAGUGUCUCUCUAGACCAGGUUGUAGUAUCUCUCUAGACCAGGUUGUAGUGUCUCUGUAGUAUCUCUCUAGACCAGGUUGUAGUGUCUCUCUAGACCAGGUUGUAGUGUCUCUCUAGACCAGGUUGUAGUGUCUCUCUAGACCAGGUUGUAGUGUCUAUCUAGACCAGGUUGUAGUGUCUCUGUAGUAUCUCUCUAGACCAGAUUGUAGUGUCUCUGUCUCUCUAGACCAGGUUGUAGUGUCUCUCUAGACCAGGUUGUAGUGUCUCUCUAGACCAGGUUGUAGUGUCUCUCUAGACCAGGUUGUAAUGUCUCUCUAGACCAGGUUGUAGUGUCUCUCUAGACCAGGUUGUAGUGUCUCUGUAGUGUCUAUCUAGACCAGGUUGUAGUAUCUCUCUAGACCAGGUUGUAGUGUCUCUGUAGUAUCUCUCUAGACCAGGUUGUAGUGUCUCUCUAGACCAGGUUGUAGUGUCUCUGUAGUGUCUAUCUAGACCAGGUUGUAGUAUCUCUCUAGACCAGGUUGUAGUGUCUCUGUAGUAUCUCUCUAGACCAGGUUGUAGUGUCUAUCUAGACCAGGUUGUAGUGUCUCUGUAGUAUCUCUCUAGACCAGGUUGUAGUGUCUCUCUAGACCAGGUUGUAGUAUCUCUCUAGACCAGGUUGUAGUGUCUCUGUAGUGUCUCUCUAGACCAGGUUGUAGUGUCUCUGUAGUGUCUAUCUAGACCAGGUUGUAGUGUCUCUCUAGACCAGGUUGUAGUGUCUCUGUCUCUCUAGACCAGGUUGUAGUAUCUCUCUAGACCAGGUUGUAGUGUCUCUCUAGACCAGGUUGUAGUGUCUCUGUCUCU